CUUUCUCAUUUUAUUGAGCUUCUACCUGAGCAUCUAGGGAUCCAAGAAAAAAUUUUUCAGUUAGAAUUGUGCGUCCAAGAUUAUUGAUUAUUAUCUAGAUAAUAUUAUCCAUCUAAAUAACAUGUCUCACUCAUCCAAAAUUAAAAUGCUGCCUAUAGAUCAUUUAUUAUGAUUUUGUGAUAGUUCUUUUAUUAUAGUAGCUGCUUUGGUAGU
rnacentral:lncRNA from 1 species